rnacentral:rRNA from 1 species
ACUCAAAUGAAUUGACGGGGGCCCGCACAAGCAGUGGAGUAUGUGGUUUAAUUCGAGGCAACGCGAAGAACCUUACCAGGGUUUGACAUCCAGCGCUAGGGCUAGAGAUAGUUUGUUCUCUUCGGAGACGCUGAGACAGGUGGUGCAUGGUUGUCGUCAGCUCGUGUCGUGAGAUGUUCGGUUAAGUCCGGCAACGAGCGCAACCCCUGUUGCCAGUUGCCAUCAUUGGGUUGGGCACUUUGGCGAGACUGCCGUUGACAAAACGGAGGAAGGUGGGGAUGACGUCAAAUCAUCAUGCCCCUUAUAUCCUGGGCUACACACGUACUACAAUGGGCGCAGACAGCGGGCAGCGAAGCGGCGACGCGGAGCGAAUCCUGAAAGGCGCCCUCAGUUCGGAUUGCAGGCUGCAACUCGCCUGCAUGAAGCCGGAAUUGCUAGUAAUGGCAGGUCAGCAUACUGCCGUGAAUACGUUCCCGGGCCUUGUACACACCGCCCGU